rnacentral:snRNA from 1 species
GUGCUCUCUUCAGCAGCACAUACACUAAAACUGGAACGAUGCAAAGAAGAUUAGCAUGGCCCCCGAGCAAGGAUAACACACACAUAUUCGUGAAGCGUUCCAUAUUAAA